UACGUAGGGGGCAAGCGUUGUCCGGAUUUAUUGGGCGUAAAGAGCGUGUAGGCGGUUUGGUAGGUCCGUUGUGAAAACUCGAGGCUCAACCUCGAGACGCCGAUGGAAACCAUCAGACUAGAGUCCGGAAGAGGAGAGUGGAAUUCCUGGUGUAGCGGUGAAAUGCGCAGAUAUCAGGAAGAACACCCGUGGCUAAGGCAGCUCUCUAGUACGGUACUGACGCUGAGACGCGAAAGCGUGGGGAGCGAACAGG
rnacentral:rRNA from 1 species